CCUACGGGAGGCAGCAGUGGGGAAUAUUGGACAAUGGGCGAAAGCCUGAUCCAGCCAUGCCGCGUGUGUGAAGAAGGCCUUCGGGUUGUAAAGCACUUUCAGUGGGGAAGAAAGCCUUGGGGCUAAUACCCUCGAGGAAGGACAUCACCCACAGAAGAAGCACCGGCUAACUCCGUGCCAGCAGCCGCGGUAAUACGGAGGGUGCGAGCGUUAAUCGGAAUUACUGGGCGUAAAGCGCGCGUAGGCGGUCUGAUAAGCCGGUUGUGAAAGCCCCGGGCUCAACCUGGGAACGGCAUCCGGAACUGUCAGGCUAGAGUGCAGGAGAGGAAGGUAGAAUUCCCGGUGUAGCGGUGAAAUGCGUAGAGAACGGGAGGAAUACCAGUGGCGAAGGCGGCCUUCUGGACUGACACUGACGCUGAGGUGCGAAAGCGUGGGUAGCAAACAGGAUUAGAUACCCGAGUAGUC
rnacentral:rRNA from 1 species